rnacentral:rRNA from 1 species
CGGUGUUUAACUGGCGUGAUGUGGGACGUCCUACCGGUGGGCUUAGCCUCGCGAGGGGCGGCCCAACUAAUAUCCCGUCGCGGUGCUCUUUACUGAGUGUCGAGUCGGGCCGGUACGUUUACUUUGAACAAAUUAGAGUGCUUAAAGCAGGCUAUCCUCGCCUGAAUACUGCGUGCAUGGAAUAAUGGAAUAGGACCUCGGUUCUAUUUUGUUGGUUUUCGGAACCCCGAGGUAAUGAUUAAUAGGGACAGAUGGGGGCAUUCGUAUUGCGACGUUAGAGGUGAAAUUCUUGGAUCGUCGCAAGACGGACAGAAGCGAAAGCAUUUGCCAAAAAUGUUUUCAUUAAUCAAGAACGAAAGUUAGAGGUUCGAAGGCGAUCAGAUACCGCCCUAGUUCUAACCAUAAACGAUGCCAGCUAGCGAUCCGCCGAAGUUCCUCCGAUGACUCGGCGGGCAGCUUCCGGGAAACCAAAGCUUUUGGGUUCCGGGGGAAGUAUGGUUGCAAAGCUGAAACUUAAAGGAAUUGACGGAAGGACACCACCAGGAGUGGAGCCUGCGGCUUAAUUUGACUCAACACGGGAAACCUCACCAGGCCCAGACACCGGAAGGAUUGACAGAUUGAUAGCUCUUUCUUGAUUCGGUGGGUGGUGGUGCAUGGCCGUUCUUAGUUGGUGGAGCGAUUUGUCUGGUUAAUUCCGAUAACGAACGAGACUCUAGCCUGCUAAAUAGGCGUACCUUAUGGUAUCGCGAAGGCCCCCGGCUUCGGCCGGUGGGUUUUUACUACCAACGUACAAACAAAUCUUCUUAGAGGGACAGGCGG